UCCUGUCCUGAAACAACCCAAACCACAGUGUCACCACUAUUUCCACACAGGGCUUUCCCCAUUCUGCCUGGGUCGUGGUCUUACUCUGUAAGGAGACAAAUGGCCACUCCUGACAUUUGGCCCCAUUUCCAAAGUAAAGUUUCCCAUUUGGUGUCCUGGAUGACAAAGGGCAUAGGGCUGUGUUCCCACACCAUCAGAAACUGGAUCACAGGUUCCAAUCCUCCCCCACCCCACCCCCACCCCUGAAACUCUCCAUUCUUCAAGGCUGCUGACUUGGGCUCAAGUGUCAGAAGGAAAACCCUAAGGUUGAACUGAUCUGAAAGAAUGAGAGUAAGUAAGCACACACAGGGGGUUGCCCUUGCCAAGUGCCUAUGUACUUACUCCCCCUCGGGAGGCCCCAGCUCUCAGUGCCUUAGCCCUGGACCUAAAAAGCCUACCGAGCAUUUUCUGCAGGUGACAGUAAAGACUGGCUGAAUGAGGGAAGCAAUUCCAGAUGCUGGCAACUGUGCAGUUUUCCACAGGAGAAUCUACCUCGAGCCCCAAGUUGACAACCACUGCUGAGGAUUCCAGGAAGAGAUGGGAGCAGGCCGAAUAAUUGCUGCUCAAGUCCACAGUGGAGCCCCAGCCCUGCCACGAGCCAGCUCCAGAGCGUUGGGCAAUCCUGCCCUCAUCUGGACCUGUAAGAGAGAGCUACUAUACUGCUCGCCUGCCAGGGCUGCUGGUCAUCAUUAGGCUCUCCAAGCACAGUGGGUAACUUCCAUUGCCUCAUUUCACCUUCAGUCUGCUCCCACAAGGACAUACUGGAACACUGCAUUUCAGACAAGGAAACUGAGACCCGGCUGAAGGAAGGUCUUGAGUACUCAACUGG